AGUAAACCCCUCAACAUCAGUUGCUACCAAAGUCAUGCUUGCGUCUGGUUUUAAGACUUAAUUAUGUCCACCCAACACAUGUAGCUCCAAAUAUAUAUAGUAUGCAACAUAAGUUGUCUGAUUUUGUUAAUCAUCAACUGAUUAAUUCCUCCAACCAUGAUCACAACUCAUCAAAACUCCAUCUUCCUUAUCACCUCAUCUCUCUUGAUGAUCCUCUCACUCCAUAAUUUGUUUGAAUCUUGUGAUGCCAAAUGCAAUCCUUCUUCCUGCGGCAUCAUUCCCAACAUCAGCUACCCUUUCCGCCUCAAGGGCAACCCCAAAAAUUGCGGUGAUCCAAGAUUUGAAUUAUCAUGUGAAAAUAAUGUGACCUUCGUGUCCCUUAAUUCUCACAAAUACUAUGUCAAAGCAAUCAACUACAGUGGCUAUGGAGACAAGCCCACCAUCAGGGUGGUUGAUGCUUCCAUAAACAAAGGCGACAUCUGCUCGUUCCCCACCUUAUCUACAUAUGCCUAUACUCGUCUUUCUAACCUGUUACCGAUCAAUUCCUUGCCUAUAAACUUUAUAAGCUGCCCAAAUCCAUUGAGAAAUUCAUCUGUUUAUACUAAUAUCACUACUCAGUGUGCCUCUAAUUCAUCCCAACACAGAUAUGCUUAUAUUAAGGUCGGCCACAUGAAGGUCUCAGAGUUGCCACACACCUGUGGAGUAGACCUCAUAGUGAUGACAUCCUCGUAUAGUUUCAAGGAUUUGAACAACGUUUCGCUUUCAGAAAUCCAUGAGUCUCUCUUGAAUGGAUUUGAACUCAUCAGCUGCUCCUACUGUGGAACAUCCAAAAUCUUAUUGAUACGUUGGGAGUAUCUCCUGAUUCUUGUGGUCAUUCUAGGUAUGUUGUGUGCAGCGGUAAGCCCUCCUGCAUUCACCAUAUGUGGAUUCGCAGCUGUAACACUACUCUUAUUUCAUAUCAGAUAUAUGUUCCAAGAUAUAAUAGAAACAUUUGCAGACACCGUGCAAUUGAACCCUCUGCUAGCUAUAGUAGUAGUCAUCAUCGACUUGAGCGUCUUGUUGCCAAAGGUUAUCAUUUUUCCUUUCAUGUUGUGCCUUUUGAUCUACAAAUUUCGAAGAAGGCAUUUGUCCGAAUACAACACUAUAGAAUCCUUCCUCCAGAGUGAUAAUAAACUCUCACCAAUCAGAUAUUCAUAUUCAGACAUAAAGAGAAUGACAAGAGGUUUUCAAGAAAAACUAGGUGAAGGAGGCUAUGGUUGUGUUUACAAAGGAAAGAUUCGAAGUGGACAUGAUGUAGCUGUCAAAAUGCUCGGAAAAUCAGGAGGGAAUGGUCAAGACUUUAUGAAUGAAAUAUCAACUAUUGGAAGGGUACAUCAUGUCAAUGUGGUGCAACUAGUUGGAUAUUGUGCAGAAGGUUACAAGCGUGUCCUCAUCUUUGAUUUCAUGCCCAACGGUUCUCUUGAUAAAUACCUCUUCAAUCGAGAAAAAACGAAUUUCUUAGAUUGGGAUACAAAGUUUGAUAUUGCCAUGGGAAUAGCUCGAGGAAUUGAGUAUUUGCAUCGAGGAUGUGACAUCCAGAUCCUUCAUUUUGACAUCAAGCCUCAUAAUAUACUCCUCGACCAUAACUUCAUUCCCAAAAUAUCUGAUUUCGGGCUAGCAAAGUUAUGCUCCAUAGAGAAGGAGGCUGUGACCUUAACGGCUGCUAGAGGAACCAUAGGGUAUGUUGCCCCCGAACUCAUCAACAGAGGUAUUGGUGCAGUCUCUUUCAAGGCGGAUGUGUAUAGUUUUGGGAUGUUGUUGAUGGAAAUGGUGGGUUUAAACAGAGAUUUGAGGACAAAUAAUGAUGAAUCUACGAAGUAUUUCCCAAAUUGGAUAUAUGACCACAUUAACCAAGGCCGGGAGAUUGAAAUUGAAAAGGAUGAGAAAAACAAUAGUGAUGAUGAGAAUAAGAGUGUUCGGAAGAUGACAAUAGUUGCGUUAUGGUGCAUACAGAUGAGACCAGAUGACCGUCCUUCAAUGAAUCAAGUGUUGCAAAUGUUAGAUGCGGAUGUUGAACGUUUGCCGAUACCAGAGGUUCCAUCAUCACAAUCAACCCAAAUAGCAGGAAAUGAGGAAGAGUGCUGGCUUACAGGUCCCACUGGUUCUGUAUCAUUGCUCCAUAGCAAUGACAACAACUUUGAGAUUACUAUUGCAUGAAGUGAACCUGUACUUCCCAAUCUUUCUCCCUCUAUCCAUCUCUUCUUUUACAUCAGGAUUUAAUAGCAUUUGCAAGUAGCCAAUACUUAAAUUUUAAAGUUUAAGGUCAGUACCCAUCCUUUGAAAAACUGGUGAUUAUUAUUGAUCUGAACCUGCAAUAAUGGUAAAUAAGUGGAGCUCUACUCUUAUCUCAAAUGGAAAACUCAUAUUAGUAAUUAUUUUCUAAGCUGCUGUGAACAACAUGUAAUUUUUAUAA